GCGUCGGUUGUGCAGCGGUUUAGCACACGCUCCCGUAAAGAGUGAGAUAUGGGUUCGAAUCCCGGUUGACGCA